GUGCACCAGUCGAGAAACUUUACAAUGUGCGAAAGCACGAUAAGGGAACUCUGAGUGCCUCCUAAGGAGGCUGUUCAGGUGUCUAAAAGCACCUGAAGGAAGGGCUGGGUAAGACCGGUGCCAGCCGCCGCGGUAACACCGGCAGCCCAAGUGGUAGCCACGUUUAUUGGGUCUAAAGCGUCCGUAGCCGGCUGGGUAAGUUCCUUGGGAAAUUUGGCUGCUUAACAGUCAAGCUUUCAGGGAAUACUGCCCGGCUUGGGACCGGGAGAGGUCAGAGGUACUCCAGGGGUAGGGGUGAAAUCCAUUAAUCCUUGGGGGACCACCGGUAGCGAAGGCGUCUGACCAGACCGGGUCCGACGGUGAGGGACGAAGGCUAGGGGCGCGAACCGGAUUAGAUA
rnacentral:rRNA from 1 species